UGGCCUUGUCUAAACAGAGGAGGGUUUAUUCCUUGGGACCAGGAAAUGUUCCUGGCCCUGAGGGGAAGGUGUGGUGCCCGUUAAUUAUACCUUUGCAGGUGCCUCGGGCAGGAUUACGUUCCAUGCAGGCAAUGCGAGCCGACUGUGUUCACAAUUCUAUUGUUUAACCUGUGCUCACCCCCGUCCAGGUCACCUUACCCUUCUUCCUCAGCCAGCUCUUCUCUCCAGGAGCAGCAGCCAAGAGGAACUGUGCCAGAAGCUGGCCCUUCAGCUGGCUCGCAUUGGGGAUGCCCUUGAUCACAGGAUUGUCAGAGAGUUUAGGCAGCAUGCUGAGCGAGACGAGGAUGUUGAACAGGGCCUACACCUGGGAGAACCAAGAGACUUCAGAGAGGAGACAGCUCACUUUAUUUUGUUCUUGCUUAGAAAGUUUCAUGAAGUUUUGCAUUAUUUCUGGGCUAGAUUUACAGUGUGAUGUAUGUAACAAAGAGAUCCUUUAGCUUAGACUGCACUGAUGUGUUGUGUUGGUCACUGACCUCAUGUGAUGUGGUUGGGUGGAUCAAAUGUAACCUCUGUGACCAUUUUGAUUAUUCACAACAUUCCUUUGGGAUACAUCUUAAUGGGUCUGAUGCUGCAAACACAAUCAUUUUAGUAAUUUUACUCACCUAGGACCUACUGAAUUCAGGGGAUUAGGCCCAUGAGUAAAGUUACUCACCUGCAUAAAUGUUUACAGGACCGGGCCUAUAUUUAGUUAAAAAGCAAAUUCUGUGUAUUACUUGUAGACAGUCACCUUUAACCACACCUUAUACCACUUCUGAAAAAAGUAAUGGUGGAUGCAGCAAUAUACAGCAUUUAGACUUCCUUAUCAUCAUUUGUCAAGAAAUCUGAAUGCCAGUGCACAAAUACACACAUUUUUGUUGCCUACCUCUAUUUACACAUGGAAAGAAAAGUGACCUACUUAUUAAAGGUGCAGAGUACCUCCUACUUCCAUUGGCUUUUUUGGGGAUUUGCAGAUGCUCAGCACAUCUGAAAAUCAGGCCACUUUCAUUUAGAUGCCUAGAUAUGGAGGUGGGAGCCUAUGUUUGGCACCCAGCUUGGAAAACGUUGGCUAUGAAUAUUAAUUUGAACUUUUUAAAUUGUUAUAUAUCCAGGAAGCUUCAGUUUCUGGUUAGUUUGAAGAAACCUCCAGGUUAUGUGGUGAUAUAUUCUGCUUAGCAGCUACUUUGAUGUUGAAAGCCAUGAUCACACUAAAGCAGCAGAAAGAACGCUGUAGUACAUUGCAGCUGUUGCGGUAACAAAUAUGUUCAUAAUGGUGUUUUUCAGCAUACAGGUUCUAUUACCUAAACCCACCAACAUGUUACAGAGUCAAUGUUAAUUUCUAAAAGUAGCUCUUGAGUCAGAAAGUGUAAACAUAUUUGAAAUUAUUGCCUGUGAAGGGCAUUCCUUCAUGUGGUAACAGUGCAUUAGCUUUAAUCUGCAUGGGAGAAGUCAUGAGGGAACAAAGGUGGCAGAAUAUAAGAAUUACAGAUCAAUGUUUCAUAAGAUUAUUUAAAAAAUGCCUACUUGGAUCAUAAAUUGUGUUCUUUGUUCUAUGCUGGGAUGCUUUGUGGUUGUUUCUGUUAUUAAAAAGCUCAGGAUUAAGUAUAGAGAAAAGUUUCUAACCACAUUUAUUUGUUUAUUCAGUUAUGAAAAAUAAACAUUUACCACUUGCA